rnacentral:rRNA from 1 species
CACCGGCGGCCCGAGUGGUGAUCGUGAUUAUUGGGUCUAAAGGGUCCGUAGCCGGUUUGGUCAGUCCUCCGGGAAAUCUGAUGGCUCAACCAUUAGGCUUUCGGGGGAUACUGCCAGGCUUGGAACCGGGAGAGGUAAGAGGUACUACAGGGGUAGGAGUGAAAUCUUGUAAUCCCUGUGAGACCACCUGUGGCGAAGGCGCCUUACCAGAACGGGUUCGACGGUGAGGGACGAAAGCUGGGGGCACGAA